AACAUCAUCAUAUGGAUAAUUACUAGAUGUGCUAUUUUUGCAACUGUUUUGAAGAGAAAUAAUUAGACACAGUGUACCACUUACUUGUUUUAUUUGUCUUUGAUCUUGCUCUGUAGGUCUUAUAAAAAAUUAAAUGAAAAUGCACUGUUAGAAAACCCACAGAACAGAUCAUAAGUUUUCAACAAACAAAUAUUCAGGGGAGUGCCUUUGACCUAUAACCCUGAAUUAGAGAAAAUAAUCAUUGAACAAUAACAUAGUGCUUAAGAAUGUGGGGACUUAGACCAGAUUGCCUCUCCUUUUAUCAAUAAUCUUUCUAAGGUAAUUUUUGUUGUUCCUCCUAUCAAAAGGUAGAAUCUAUUUCUCCAUCCAUUGAAUCUGGGCUGACCUUGUGAUUGGCUUUGUGUAAAAAGGAAAGUUGUGACACUCUGGUCUUCCAUGCUUCCUCUUAUUCUUUCAGUAACCUACCCCUGCAGCCCUGACAAGCCUGGGCCAGCUUGCUGAAGGACGAGACAUCAUGUGGAGCAAAAAAGAGCCAACUUAACUGAACUAUCUUAGACCGGUGAGCUCCCAGCUGACUUGGCAGUUGGCCACAGAGGCAUAAGGGAACACAGCAGAAUUUAGCCAAGCUUGACUGAAAGAAACUUUAGCUGAGUCCAGCCCAAAUGGCCAACAGACAGAAUCAUGAAGAAGAUAUGCAGAAAUAUGAAAACAUGAAUCACUUCGCUCAGUCUGAGGCAGGAUAAUCAGAAAUAUGUAUGCUUCUAUGCAAUAAGCUCUCUGUGUAGAUUUGGAGAUACAAUAACGUCAUGAUCAAGAUUUUUGCCAACUCUUAAGCCUAACUGACUGCAUUUAAUUAUUAAUUCUAUAAUAAUCAAGAAUCAGCAAGGAAGAUAGAGUCACUAUAAAUACAGGAAUAAAGAUACAAUACUGGAAUCAGGACUAGUGUAAUUUCUGAAAGUAGCCA
rnacentral:lncRNA from 1 species